UCUGCUUCUUACCUAACAUUUAAAUAGCUUGAAAGGAACUUUAUCCCAGUUGUGAAAUGGUCUUAAUUUUUUUAGGAAGUUGACUGUGUUUUUGAAUGUCCAGUCUUCUAGAUCCAUAUGCAAGUAUGGGCCAAGUAGUCUGAUAUCAGUGUUGCAUAGAACUCAGAAAAUUUCCUUGCUAAUUUGAAAGUGGGAGAUGAUGUGAACUUUCCUCUAGCAUAACUGAAGGAUGUGGGUAAGUACUAGGGAAGAGUUAAUAAAAUCCUCUCCUCUGUCAAAGGAAGCUGUGCCUCAGAGUUUUCUUUUAAGAAGUGAGCAAAAAUGAACACAGGAAAUCUGUGUAUGAAGCCACUUCAGUUUGAAAAAAUCAUUCAGCAAAAUCAUCCAUCAAAUACUCCACAAGAAGUCAAGGUGGCAAAUCAUAACACUCUGUCAUUUCAACUAAUUUCACUGCAGAGUACUCUGAGGAGGAGCCUGAAUAAAGAAAAUUAUGAGAUACAAACAUUUGGCAGUUGACUUUCCUAAGAAAGAAAGAAAGAGAGAAAGAAAGAGAGAAAGAAAG